rnacentral:lncRNA from 1 species
GCUCCUGGAGGCAAGUGUGUGGGGUGAACCCUAUGGACUGACUUCAGUGCCUACUGUGGGCACUGACCCUGAUCUGACCCCUGCCACUCAGCAGUGCACCUGGGGAACAUCUAGCAUGCCAAGUCCUCAUCUAGAGAGAUGCCCCAGGUUGGCAUUUUUGAAGUUCCUAAUGGGGACUUAGAGCUCAGAAUUGUGGCCACAGCAGAAGUUUUGGAAAUGCUUCUCUGUUCUUCUCCAUGUCUUGCAUGUCUAGGAACUAUCGCCAAAUCCACUUCUCUUGAUCCUCCUGGGACAGCAUAGUGAUCCAAGUUGAAUUGGGGCAAAUACUCGGUUCUCAAAUUCAAUAGAUGUGGAGGUAUGUUAAGUCUGUCUAAUGUCUAUAAGAAUUUAGUUUAGUAAUUACGUCAGAAUAUUUUUCUGCUCUCUUUAAAAGGUUUAUUUUAUUUUUUUGAGAGAUAGAGAGAGAGAGAGAGAGAGAAUUUUAGUAUUUAUUUUUUAUUUAUCAGCAGGCACAACAUCUUUGUUUGUAUGUGGUGCUGAGGAUCGAACCCGGGCUGCGCGCAUGCCAGGUGAGCGCGCUACCGCUUGAGCCACAUCCCCAGCCCACUUUAAAAGGUUUAUAUGGAAUAAGGAGAAACUAUUCUAAAGGGUAGGGAAGGUUUUUCCACAUCAAGGAUUUGUACAUCUGUCUGCAGGUUUUGUUUGGGGACUUCAUGGUGCCUAGAAUCUGAGCCCUGGAAUGAGCCGUCAGAGACAAAGCAUGCACAGAAACCCUCUUAACUGCAAAGCUUGCCUAGGCUAUUUACUCUCUAAAUAUAUCUAAACAACAUAAGAAGACCAUGGAUCUAUAACUGAAGUAUUAAGCCCCUGCAGAUAGAAACAAUUCUUAACCAAUAGAUUAAGCAUUUAAAUUAUUAGCAAACGAUAAAACAACAACAAAAGAAACAUAACAAAAAUAUAAAAAGGAAACACAUAAUUCUCUCAACCUUCCCUGUCUCUGUUCCUCACCAAAGGAACAUUGAUCUGGGUAUAAAAAUCCAAACAAAGGGGCUGGGUUGUGGCUCAGCAGUAGAGCACUUGCCUACCAUGUGCAAGGCCCUGGGUUUGAUCCUCAGCACCACAUAAAAAUAAAUAAAUAGAAUAAAGGUAUUAAAAAAAUCCAAACAACAUUCUUUCUUUGCUUUUUAGUUGGAAGUGACUGUGGAAAUGGUGGUUCCCACUCUUAUUUUAUAUUUUGAGACAUGGUCUUGCUAAGUUACUUAGGACCUCACUAAGUUGUUGAGGCUGUCUUUGAACUUGAGAUCCUCCUGCCUCAGUCUUCUGAGUUGCUGGGAUUACAGGUGUAUACUAUCAAUACUGGUUUACACAACUAUUUAAAGUAUUAUGUCAUAUCUGUUAUGUUUUCUUAGUUAGUAUUCAAAUAGCCUCACAUUAACAGCAGAGGAGUUGAGCCAAAGUAGUUUCCUGUAUGUCUGGGAAGAGGAAAUGGCAUACAAAAACACAGGAAUGUCUUUCCCCCAGAUUAAAGAAAAGUUAAGACAUGGUCCUUGUCUUAUAGGACCUAGUAUCAAGCUGGGACAAAGGAUGGGCAUGAAUGAAACAUCAAAUAACAAAGAACAACUUCAAAUUCUGUGUCAGAGUUCUGACAAAAGUCAAAACAAAAGACUAUAGAAAUUCACAGGACCAAGAGACCAGACUGGGCCCAUGUAGUUGGCUAAAACUUUAUGGAGAAGAUAGAACUGGAAUUUGAUUUUGAAGCACUGGCAAGACUUAGCCAGAGGGAGAAAGAUGGGAAAUGUUUUUUAGGAAGGGGAAGUAGCAUAAACAAAUUGUCACAACUGGAGAAGGCCAGGGCGUCCAAAGUGUUUGCACUGGUGGAGUUCAGGCACUGAUCCAUCCUAAUGCCUGCUGUCCUGGCAGAAGAUCUCAGUGGUUGGCUUUGGGAGAGGUUCUUGUGCAGGGACUGGGGUAGAGGUAGGGCUGUAAGGCAGGGUGGAGGAGACAGCUUCCUAGCAUUUUACCCCAUUCACUGCAUGCUGAGGUGUCUCAGUGUUUUAACAACCAGAAUGGCUUCAUCAGUGCAUGUAAGCUAAACAUCUGCCCUGCAUCGGAGACUUAUGGAAACAGAGGAUGGAAAGACAAGUUGGAAUUAAAUUGGGAAGGUCUCUGAUUGCAAGGGUGUUUGGAAUAUCCAAAGCAGAGAUUGACAUUAUUUAUUUUCAGAGAUAAAGCCUAGAGCACCCUAUAUAAUAAAUAUCCAAUAAUGAAUGGUUAAAUAUAAAUAGUGAACCCAUAUAAUGGAAUUGUCUGUGAUCAUUAAGAUCCAGUUUCUGAAGACUUUUAACAACAUGGAAUGAUAUGUAUAAACUAGAAAACUAGAGAAACUAGAACAAAAAAACUAGAGAAGAAAACUAGAGUAUAAUACCAAUUUAGUAAUAAAAAUAUUAAGACUAAAAUAACAUCAAACAUAGUGGUUAUUUAAAAAUUAAUUUAAAUUGACAAAAAUAAUAUAUAUUUGUCAUGUAUGUUUUAAAAUAUAUAUAAUUAGUAUUUAUUUUUGGAUGGUAGUAUUACAUUGAUUUUUCUUUUCAUCAUUAAAUUUUCCUAUGUUUUGAAUUUUUAUAUAAUAAACCCAUAUGACUUAUAAUAAUUACUCCUCAAAAGAAAGUUUAACAUGUGGCAUGUGGCACAGUGGUGGCGGUGACUACAAUUUUCUCUUUCUUUUGUAGGUAAAUUCCAGUCUCAUUUCGGCAGUGCCCAAGAACUAAGUACCUACAUGAGUCAGUCCACAGUGGCUGAGCAUCAUCUAUCCCUGGGAUAUCAGGCUCAGUUUGCCACUGAGCAGACAACUGGAAAGCCCACCUUGUUUGUCAUCCUAUAUAGGUGAACUUGUAAUUCCAGCAACUCAACUCACAGAGUGAAUACUGAUCCAGAAAAUUGCACAGCCACCCUGGGCUUGAGCCACUGACUUGUGGGGUAUCAAGGAUUGGUCACAGAACAGUGAGAACCCAUACAGACAUGGCAUCUCAUUUCACAGACCGGAAAACCAGAAAGAGGAAGGCACUUACCCAAGGUCACACAGUGAGUAACUAUAAGUAGGGACUUGAACCUGGUCUUUGUCCUAUGCUAUGUCUUCAUCUAUCACAGUGUACCUUAGACAACUGACUUCCCUGGAUUCUGUUCAAAUCCCUCUUUUGCCUAGG